AGACAGGGAGCACUCACGGGCAUUUUCAUCUGUGAUUUAGACUUUCCAUCCCGUAGUUUACUAGUUUAGAGGAUCACAAGACUAAGUUGUCACCAUCAUGCGUUAAUCUGCCUCAUGAGCGCAGGAUGAAGUGUUUUGACAACCCACGGGUUCUGACAACAGUGGUCUGCCUGGGCAUCAUGGGCCUCUGCCUGGGCAUCAUGGGCCUCUGUGUCAUUCUCUAACUUUAAUCUCCAGGAUCUGGCUCCGACCACGUGGCAUGCUCACUGGCUGCACCUGUCGGCAGCACUGGGCUGGAGGAUGAGUACCUGGGAUGAACGCCUGAUGGAAAUGACUGGGCAGCUCUUGUGGUGAAAUAGGACACUCUCAACCCUGGGCUCAGCAGGCCAUUUCGAUGGUGAGACAAGUGUUUGGAACAAAGAUGAAAAUCAAGAUGUGAGCAGAAUUAGUGAGUUCUUAGAGCAACUAAACUGUGACAUGUCACCAAGACAGAAAUCUUGCAAAGGCCGCUCUGAGAGUAUGUAGUAAGUGUUACAUCUGGUAUGUGAAGCUGGGCAAUGGAGGAAGGACUGAAGCCCCAGGAUGUUGACCCAGCACAUGCUCCAGCACACCUCUAUCUACUCUGACAUCCUACCACCCUGCGUUGUGGUUCACAGAGUUCCCCUCCUGGUGUGACCUUCAGCUUCCCCCAGUACUCUGAGAGGGAAGAGUACUACUGUCUCCAUUCCUUGACUUUGGAUCCAAUCAAGUAAGGACCAUCGAGUGAGGCAGUGAGGCUAGUGUGCCCGUUCAGAAGCCACACCCCAAGGUGUUUCUCUCGGGCACACCUGCCACCGACAUGAGAACAUCUUUAGCUCACUGGUCCAAAGAAGCUGAGACACAUGCAGAGUGGAGCCUUCCAGAUGAAACCAGUUAUCCAGAUGAAACUAGUCUCGAUCAGCCACCAUCCGACCCACCUGAGCUUGGCCAAGAGCUUAGCGUUGCAUGUUGCUGAGAUUUCUCAAUCGUCUAUUGACCUACGCCUUUCUAGCAACCAUUAGCGGAUGGAAAUACGUGGUUGACUGACUGGAUUUUGACGCUGAACUUCACUCCUGCAAUAAACCUAAAUUUGUAAAAUAAUAAAUGUUGGUCAU